AGGUCAAGUAGAAAAGGGCGCACGGUGAAUGCCUAGGCACUAACAGCCGAAGAAGGACGUGA
rnacentral:rRNA from 1 species